rnacentral:rRNA from 1 species
AUUGAACGCUAGCGGGAUGCCUUACACAUGCAAGUCGAACGGAGUGGCGAACGGGCGAGUAAUGUAUCGGAACGUGCCCAGUAGCGGGGGAUAACUACGCGAAAGCGUAGCUAAUACCGCAUACUAUUGGAGCGGCCGAUAUCGGAUUAGCUAGUUGGUGGGGUAACGGCUCACCAAGGCGACGAUCCGUAGCGGUUUUGAGAGGACGACCAGCCACACUGGGACUGAGCAACGGUCAAGUCGCCGACGGGAGGCCGCAGUGGGGAAUUUUAGACAAUGGGUGAAACCCUGAUCCAGCGAUCCCUCGUGUGCGAUGAAGGCCUUCGGGUAGUAAAGCACUUUUGGCAGGAAAGCGGUACCUGCAGAAUAAGCACCGGCUAACUACGUGCCAGCCGCCGCGGUAAUAC